UGAACAUUGUGGAUUCUUAACUUUCCAAAUCUCUUUAAAGCAUGUAAAUUUUAAUUCUUUUUUCGCCCUUUAUUUUUGAAAAAUAAAAUCAGUUUUUUAGUGUUUUGUGUGUUGUUUUAAGCUUGGGCCAAGGGAUACGCCGAUUCAAUGCUUUAUUAGAAGGGAUAGCUCAAGUUCAACAUUUCGAUUGUAUAUGGGUCUCAGUUACCAGCACUGACAGGUCAGUU